rnacentral:rRNA from 1 species
GAUGAACGCUGGCGGCGUGCCUAAUACAUGCAAGUCGAGCGAAGGGACGAGAAUCUUGCUUGUCUGAUGUGAGCGGCGGACGGGAGAAUAACACGUGUAUAACCUACCUAUAAGAGUGGUAUAACUUCGGGAAACCUGAGCUAAUACCGGAUAAUAUUUUGUACCCCAUGGUUCAAAAGUAAAAGACGUUCUUGCUGUCACUUAUGGAUGCAUCCGCGCUGCAUUAGCUAGUGGUUAAGGUAACGGCCUACCAAGGCAACAAUGCGUAGCCAACCUGAGAGGGUGAUCGGCCACACUGGAACUGAGACACGGUCCGACCUCCUAGGGGAAGCAGCAGGAGGGAAUGGUGCGCAAAGGGCGAAAGCCUGACAGAGCAACGCCGCGUGAGUGAUGAAGGUGUUCGGAUCGUAGAGCUCUGUUAUUAGGGAAGACAAUAUUUAUAAGCAACUGUGAACAUCUUGAGGGUACCUAAUCAGAAAGCCCCGGCUAACUACGUG